rnacentral:rRNA from 1 species
CACGUAGGGCGCAAGCGUUGUCCGGAAUUAUUGGGCGUAAAGAGCUCGUAGGCGGUCUGUUGCGUCCGCUGUGAAAACUCGGGGCUUAACCCCGAGCCUGCAGUGGAUACGGGCAGACUAGAGGUAGGUAGGGGAGAAUGGAAUUCCCGGUGUAGCGGUGAAAUGCGCAGAUAUCAGGAGGAACACCGGUGGCGAAGGCAAUCCCCUGGGCCUGCACUGACGCUCAUGCACGAAAGCGUGGGGAGCAAACAGG